rnacentral:tRNA from 1 species
GGCUCCUUGGUCAAGCGGUUAAGACACCGCCCUUUCACGGCGGUAACACGGGUCCGAGUCCCGUAGGAGUCA